rnacentral:sRNA from 1 species
AUAUAAUGGCCGAAGACAGCAGGUGCCGUAAGGCGUAAUCGCAGAGCCUGCCGAGGGACUUUCAUGAGCAAUCAUUGAGAAUGAGAUUCUGAUCCCUCUCUGUCUAGGCAGAGAGGGAUUUUUAUAUC